GGCAAUUUAAAUAAUACGAUACGGCGAGUGUGUAAGUGUAAAAUAAAUUCAGAUUUUUGGAUUGCUUUUUACACUAUAAUGUGCUGGAUGGUAAUAUAGGUUUCUGCUAAUGUAUCAAGGUGCUAUAACUGCAACAGCGCUUAUUGUGGAGACCCUUAUGAUGUAUACCUAGGUUCAAUUAUCAGUUGUUCUGAUGUCUUCAAGAAUGCCAAACUUUUCUUCAGCCGCCUUGUGUCAAAUUCAAAUUCUGCUUCUUUGACACAAUUAAAUGAGACUCAAGUCGGGGCCGACAAUUCUAACGACAUCGAGACCCUCAGCUCAACCAACACAAACGAAAUAAUAAGGCAGCGCUCCCAUGCUGAAUUCUUCGAUAUACAACGGAAAAUAUGGGAGUUUUUCAAUAAAGGAGAAAUCAACGAGAAUACCGAGUUCGUUUGCGUCAAAGCUAAUUACAACAGCAGUAGCAGCAGUCAAACGAAGACUUUCAGGGGCUGCGUGCCCCGCAGCACCAAGACCAUCUCGUCGGCCUGCGACUUCGUCAGCCAACGCGUGGUGGGGAGUUCUUCGGGGAGUUCCGUUUACGGUUGUUACGCGUGCAAUAAUGAUUUAUGUAAUGCGGGGAUUACGUUCCGCGCCUCCGUCUUCGUUUUAUUGGCGGGGGUGGCGCUGAAAAUAGUUUUCUGAUGAUGCCGAAGCGGUGCGUAACAAAACCCCCUGUCUCGUAAAAGAGGGUACGAGUGUAUUUGGGAGAGGACACUGUUAUUACGGCGGUCUUAUUUGGAAAAUUAUGACCGCCAUUUCGAAUUUUAAGCGUAUUUUUUACGAUUUUUUUUACAUUAUUUUAAGUCUAGUUUUUGAAGUAUUUACUAACUUAUUUAUGAAAAACUAUAAAAGAGGUCUUUGGAUGAGCUUAAUUUAGAAGAUACUUGAUAAGUUUUCAAGAAAUUUAGUUUUAGGAUUUUAAGAAGAUAGAAUGCAUUGAUGUUAGUGGUCUCGUAUUAUUUUAUAUUGUAAAUUGCUAACACAAUUUAAUAAAUUAUGUUGUUUUACAUAUUAAAUUUAAACUCACA
rnacentral:misc_RNA from 1 species